GGGCCAACACAAGUGGUGGAGCAUGUUGUUUAAUGCGAAAAUACGCGCGAAACCUUACCAGUUCUUGACAGUGUGUUAAGUGACGAAAAAAUAGCUUUUUUUGUCCUCUUUAUAGUAAGAAUUUUCACACACAGGUGUUGCAUGGCUGUCGUCAGCUCGUGUUGUGAAAUGUUAGAUUAAUUUCUUAAACGAGCGCAACCCCUACUUUUAGUUGCCAGUGUUUGUUGUUCCAAACAGGAACUCUAAAAGAACUGCUAGUGGAUAAGCUAGAGGAAGGUGGGGAUAACGUCAAGUCCUCAUGGCCCUUAUGAACUGGGCUACAAACGUGCUACAAUGAAAACUACAAAAAGAAGCAAUAGUGUUUAAGCUGGAGCAAAUCUCUAAAAGUUUUCUUAGUUCGGAUUGUGGGCUGAAACUCGCCCACAUGAAGUUGGAAUCACUAGUAAUCG
rnacentral:rRNA from 1 species